rnacentral:rRNA from 1 species
UGGGGAAUAUUGGACAAUGGGCGAAAGCCUGAUCCAGCCAUGCCGCGUGUGUGAAGAAGGUCUUCGGAUUGUAAAGCACUUUAAGUUGGGAGGAAGGGCAGUAAGUUAAUACCUUGCUGUUUUGACGUUACCGACAGAAUAAGCACCGGCUAACUCUGUGCCAGCAGCCGCGGUAAUACAGAGGGUGCAAGCGUUAAUCGGAAUUACUGGGCGUAAAGCGCGCGUAGGUGGUUUGUUAAGUUGGAUGUGAAAGCCCCGGGCUCAACCUGGGAACUGCAUCCAAAACUGGCAAGCUAGAGUACGGUAGAGGGUGGUGGAAUUUCCUGUGUAGCGGUGAAAUGCGUAGAUAUAGGAAGGAACACCAGUGGCGAAGGCGACCACCUGGACUAAUACUGACACUGAGGUGCGAAAGCGUGGGGAGCAAACA